GUAGUCUCGCACAGAUGCAUAUCAAUAAGCGGAGGAAAAGAAACUAACAAGGAUUCCCCUAGUAACGGCGAGUGAAGCGGGAAGAGCUCAAAUUUGAAAUCUUAAAGGGUUUCCCUUUACGAAUUGUAGUUUAAAGAAGUGUUUUCUGUUGAGGUUUUGGUAAAAGUUCUUUGGAAUAGGACAUCAUAGAGGGUGAGAAUCCCGUAUUUGACCUUUACUUUCAACUUUGUGAUACACUUUCAAAGAGUCGGAUUGUUUGGGAAUGCAGUCCAAAAUGGGUGGUAAAUUUCAUCUAAAGCUAAAUAUUGGCGAGAGACCGAUAGCGAACAAGUACCGUGAGGGAAAGAUGAAAAGAACUUUGAAAAGAGAGUUAAACAGUACGUGAAAUUGUCAAAAGGGAAGCGUUUGACACCAGUGUUGUUUUUCUGAAAAUCAAUUAAAGAACUGUUUAUGCUAAGCUGUUUAGACUUUAUCAGCUAUCUGUUUAGUUUUGAGCUUUUCUUUAAUGCACUUUUCAGUUAACAAGUCAACAUCAAUUUCUUUUGCUGUAAAAAAGCUUGAGGAAGGUGGCUUGAGAUUCGUCUUAAGUGUUUAUAGCCUCUUGCCUAUGCAGUCGGAGAGAUUGAGGUCUGCAGCGUAGAUCCUUCGGGGCUAAAUGCAUUUGUGCUAAGUUAUAGCAUUUCAUAGACAACUUGUUGACUAUGAUUUGUCUUGUAGCUUACUCGCUUAUGUUAUUUUACCUACGCUUAGGAUGUUGAUCUGUAGUGCGUGCGC
rnacentral:rRNA from 1 species